UACGGGGGGGGCAAGCGUUGUUCGGAAUUACUGGGCGUAAAGGGCCAGUAGGCGGCCAACUAAGUCGGAUGUGAAAUCCCCAGGCUUAACCUGGGAACUGCAUCCGAUACUGGAUGGCUUGAAUUCGGGAGAGGGAUGCAGAAUUCCAGGUGUAGUGGUGAGAUGCGUAGAGAUCCGGAGGAACACCAGUGGCGAAGGCGACACGCUGGGCCGUACCUGACGCUAAAGCGCGACAGCAUGGGGAGUAAACGGG
rnacentral:rRNA from 1 species